rnacentral:rRNA from 1 species
CAGCCGCCGCGGUAAUACCGGCGGCCCGAGUGGCGGUCACUAUUAUUGGGCUUAAAGCGUCCGUAGCCGGGUUGGGAAGUCCUCCGGGAAAUCUGGCCGCUUAACGGUCAGAAUGCCGGAGGAUACUCCCAGCCUAGGGAGCGGGAGAGGCCGAGGGUAUUCCCGGAGGAGGGGGGAAAUCCUAUAAUCCCGGGAGGACCACCAGUGGCGAAGGCGCUCGGCUGGAACGCGUCCGACGGUGAGGGACGAAGGCCAGGGGAGCAAACCGGAUUAGAUACCCGGGUAGUCCUGGCUGUAAACGAUGCGGACUUUGUGUCGGACAAGCUAUGAGCUUGUCCGGUGCCGGAGGGAAACCGUUAAGUCCGCCGCCUGGGGAGUACGGCCGCAAGGCUGAAACUUAAAGGAAUUGGCGGG